CCGGGAGAAGGAGGUGGCCUGG
rnacentral:miRNA from 1 species